rnacentral:rRNA from 1 species
ACUCCUACGGGAGGCAGCAGUGGGGAAUAUUGCACAAUGGGCGAAAGCCUGAUGCAGCCAUGCCGCGUGUAUGAAGAAGGCCUUCGGGUUGUAAAGUACUUUCAGUCGUGAGGAAGGGUGUGUAGUUAAUAGCUGCACANCUUGACGUUAGCGACAGAAGAAGCACCGGCUAACUCCGUGCCAGCAG